AACGAACGCUGGCGGCAGGCUUAACACAUGCAAGUCGAGCGCCCCGCAAGGGGAGCGGCAGACGGGUGAGUAACACGUGGGAACCUUCCUAGAGGUACGGAACAACUCAGGGAAACUUGAGCUAAUACCGUAUACGCUCUUGCGAGGAAAGAUUUAUCGCCUUUAGACGGGCCCGCGUCGGAUUAGCUAGUUGGUGGGGUAACGGCCUACCAAGGCGACGAUCCGUAGCUGAUCUGAGAGGAUGAUCAGCCACACUGGGACUGAGACACGGCCCAGACUCCUACGGGAGGCAGCAGUGGGGAAUCUUGGACAAUGGGCGCAAGCCUGAUCCAGCCAUGCCGCGUGAGUGAAGAAGGCCUUCGGGUUGUAAAGCUCUUUUGCCAGGGACGAUAAUGACGGUACCUGGAGAAUAAGCGCCGGCAAACUUCGUGCCAGCAGCCGCAGUAAGAC
rnacentral:rRNA from 1 species